GUGGGUGUAGCUCAGUGGCAGAGCACAUGCCUGGCAUGCAGGAGGUCCUGGGUUCCAUCCCCGGUACCUCUG
rnacentral:tRNA from 1 species